GGUCAGCGACUUAUAUUCUGUAGCAAGGUUAACCGCAUAGGGGAGCCGGAGGGAAACCGAGUCUUAAUUGGGCGUUAAGUUGCAGGGUAUAGACCCGAAACCCGGUGAUCUAGCCAUGGGCAGGUUGAAGGUUGGGUAACACUAACUGGAGGACCGAACCGACUAAUGUUGAAAAAUUAGCGGAUGACCUGUGGCUGGGGGUGAAAGGCCAAUCAAACCGGGAGAUAGCUGGUUCUCCCCGAAAGCUAUUUAGGUAGCGCCUCGUGAAUUCAUCUCCGGGGGUAGAGCACUGUUUCGGCUAGGGGGCCAUCCCGGCUUACCAACCCGAUGCAAACUGCGAAUACCGGAGAAUGUUAUCACGGGAGACACACGGCGGGUGCUAACGUCCGUCGUGAAGAGGGAAACAACCCAGACCGCCAGCUAAGGUCCCAAAGUCAUGGUUAAGUGGGAAACGAUGUGGGAAGGCCCAGACAGCCAGGAUGUUGGCUUAGAAGCAGCCAUCAUUUAAAGAAAGCGUAAUAGCUCACUGGUCGAGUCGGCCUGCGCGGAAGAUGUAACGGGGCUAAACCAUGCACCGAAGCUGCGGCAGCGACACUCAGGUGU
rnacentral:rRNA from 1 species